rnacentral:rRNA from 1 species
UACAGAGGUCUCAAGCGUUGUUCGGAUUCAUUGGGCGUAAAGCGUGCGUAGACGGUUAUGUAAGUCGGGUGUGAAAGCCCCGGGCUCAACCUGGGAAUGCCAUUCGAGACUGCAUAGCUAGGGUGCGGAAGAGGGAAGCGGAAUUUCCGGUGUAGCGGUGAAAUGCGUAGAUAUCGGAAGGAACACCAGUGGCGAAAGCGGCUUCCUGGUCCAGCACCGACGUUCAGGCACGAAAGCGUGGGGAGCAAACAGG